rnacentral:rRNA from 1 species
AGAAUCAACGCUGGCGGCGUGCCUAACACAUGCAAGUCGAACGCGAAAGGGGAGCAAUCCCUGAGUAGAGUGGCAAACGGGUGAGUAACACGUGGGUGACCUGCCUUCGAGUGGGGGAUAACGUUCCGAAAGGAACGCUAAUACCGCAUGACAUCCUGCUUUUGGAAAAGCGGAGAUCAAAGCUGGGGAUUCGCAAGAACCUAGCGCUUGAAGAGGGCCCGCGCCUGAUUAGCUAGUUGGUGAGGUAACGGCUCACCAAGGCUACGAUCAGUA